rnacentral:rRNA from 1 species
AGUGAACGCUGGCGGUAGGCCUAACACAUGCAAGUCGAACGGCAGCACAGUAAGAGCUUGCUCUUACGGGUGGCGAGUGGCGGACGAGUGAGGAAUACAUCGGAAUCUACUUUUUCGUGGGGGAUAACGUAGGGAAACUUACGCUAAUACCGCAUACGACCUACGGGUGAAAGCAGGGGAUCUUCGGACCUUGCGCGAUUGAAUGAGCCGAUGUCGGAUUAGCUAGUUGGCGGGGUAAAGGCCCACCAAGGCGACGAUCCGUAGCUGGUCUGAGAGGAUGAUCAGCCACACUGGAACUGAGACACGGUCCAGACUCCUACGGGAGGCCGCAGUGGGGAAUAUUGGCCAAUGGGCGCAAGCCUGAUCCAGCCAUACCGCGUGGGUGAAGAAGGCCUUCGGGUUGUAAAGCCCUUUUGUUGGGAAAGAAAAGCAGCAGGUUAAUACCCCGCUGUUCUGACGGUACCCAAAGAAUAAGCACCGGCUAACUUCGUG